rnacentral:rRNA from 1 species
ACGUAGGGGGCAAGCGUUGCUCGGAAUUACUGGGCGUAAAGGGUGUGUAGGCGGCUGAUUAAGUUAAGGAUGAAAUCCCGAGGCUCAACCUCGGAACUGUCCUUGAUACUGGACAGCUUGAGUCUAGUAAAGGAGGGUGGAAUUCCCGGUGUAGCGGUGAAAUGCGUAGAUAUGCGGAGGAACACCGAUGGCGAAGGCAGUCCUCUGGGCUAGUACUGACGCUCAUGCACGAAAGCGUGGGGAGCAAACAG